UAAGCGGAGGAAAGGAAACCAACCGGGAUUGCCUCAGUAACGGCGAGUGAAGCGGCAAAAGCUCAAAUUUGAAAUCUGCGUAAGCCGAGUUGUAAUUUGAAGAUGGCUACUUUGGUAAUGGCUCUUGUCUAUGUUCCUUGGAACAGGACGUCACAGAGGGUGAGAAUCCCGUGCGAUGAGAUGUCCAUUACCGUGUAAAGUGCUUUCGAAGAGUCGAGUUGUUUGGGAAUGCAGCUCUAAGUGGGUGGUAAAUUCCAUCUAAAGCUAAAUAUUGGCGAGAGACCGAUAGCGAACAAGUACAGUGAUGGAAAGAUGAAAAGAACUUUGAAAAGAGAGUGAAAAAGUACGUGAAAUUGUUGAAAGGGAAGGGCUUGAGAUCAGACUUGGUAUUUUGUAUGGCUUGCUUUCGGGCGGGUCCUCUGCAGUUUACUGGGCCAGCAUCGGUUUGGGUGGCAGGAUAAUAGCAUAGGAAUGUGGCUCUACUUCGGUGGAGUGUUAUAGCCUUUGUUGAUACUGCCUGCCUAGACCGAGGACUGCGUCUUUUGACUAGGAUGCUGGCAUAAUGAUCCUAAGCCGCCCGUCUUGAAACAA
rnacentral:rRNA from 1 species